GCUUUCUGCAGAUCUAGGCAUUGCCUCAUUUUUAUCUACAUAAGUAUAAAGCACUGGAACAGUUACCUGGAAGAGUGAGCUGCCAUGUCUGCAGGCCAUAGCAUAUUCUACAAGCUUGCCCUAUAGAAAACAUUCUACAGGCAGAGGGUGUACACUGAAUAACUAGGCUGCAGUGAGUGAAGAUGUUGACUUGCCACAUCAAAUUGCUCAAGCAUCCUUGCCAAGGAGAUUACUUGUCAGUCUUCUUGGCCCAUAGUGAAGUGAAGGAGAUCCUCAAAAUGUCCUCUCAGCGUCCACAUCAGUGGGUUAUUCCAAAAGAAGAGGUGUGAGAACUAUGGUCCCGAGAUUAUGAGACAACUCAGAAUGAUGGGACUAGCAACCCUAAAGAGACAUUUUCUGCAAGUUCUCGAACUUCUCAGAAGUUUUGAAGACAUCUCCAAUCUCCAAUCUUAUAUGUACUUCAUCCAUUUCAGAACUUUACUUUCAGGAACAAUUUCCCUAUAUUGAGAUAUUUACAAAUGUACCUUUAGAAGAACAAUAUGAAUUAUUUGGAAACCAAUAUGAUUUGUUGUUUAAUGUAUACUAUAUAUAAUAUAUAAAGUAUAAUGUAUACUAUAUAUAUAGUAUAUAUAGCAUACUAUAUAAUAUAUAUACUACAAUAUAUACAUGUUUAAUGUAAUAUACUGCAGCUUUAAAAAAACUAUGAGCUAGCUCAGCUGGUGCCAAAGUAAAUAGUUAUAUCAAUUUGCAUUGACUGCCUAUAUUUUGAUUGUUUUCUCAUCAUUUAUUGUCUGUGUUAUUGAUUGUUGAUAUAAAUAUGAUUGUUUUUGAGUUGUUUUGACAUUUCUCAAUACACUGUUUGACAUAACAUGAUGGCACAGCUUAGCUGGGCAGCAUCCCAACAACAUGUCAUUCUCAGAAAAUGACAGAGAAAAUGUUAAUACUGAAAGAUGGGAUUUAUUUAUUUAAUUAUUUUAAAUAGUCUCAUAGUAAUAUCUCUGGAAAGUAGUACGUAAAUGAAAAAGAGAAAUAACAUGAAAACAAAACAAAACAAAACCAAAAAAAAAAAAAAAAGAAAAAACACACCAGUUUUAUGAACUUCACAAAAUAAAAGAAAAAUGAUAGUAUCUAAAGAGACA
rnacentral:lncRNA from 1 species